rnacentral:tRNA from 1 species
UCUCCGUUAGUAUAUCGGUUAGUACACGCGCCUGUCACUUCUCGCUGACCGCGCGAAAGCGGGGUUCGACUCCCCGACGGAGAG